UACGUAGGGGGCGAGCGUUGUCCGGAUUUAUUGGGCGUAAAGAGCUCGUAGGCGGUUUGGUAAGUCAGGUGUGAAAUCUCCACGCUCAACGUGGAGGGGCCACCUGAUACUGCCAUGACUGGAGUCCGGUAGAGGAGUGUGGAAUUCCCGGUGUAGCGGUGAAAUGCGCAGAUAUCGGGAGGAACACCCGUGGCUAAGGCGGCUCUCUAGUACGGUACUGACGCUGAGACGCGAAAGCGUGGGGAGCGAACAGG
rnacentral:rRNA from 1 species